rnacentral:rRNA from 1 species
UACGUAGGGCGCGAGCGUUUGUCCGGAAUUAUUGGGCGUAAAGAGCUCGUAGGCGGCGAUCCUAGUCAGAUGUGAAAGUCCUGGGCUUAACCUGGGGACUGCAUUUGAUACUGGAUUGCUUGAAUGCAGGAGAGGAUAGCGGAAUUCCCAGUGUAGAGGUGAAAUUCGUAGAUAUUGGGAAGAACACCGGUGGCGAAGGCGGCUAUCUGGACUGUGAUUGACGCUGGAGGCGCGAAAGCGUGGGGAGCAAACAGG